ACGUAGGGUGCGAGCGUUAAUCGGAAUUACUGGGCGUAAAGCGUGCGCAGGCGGUGAGUUAAGUCUGAUGUGAAAGCCCCGGGCUCAACCUGGGAACGGCAUUGGAAACUGGCUCGCUGGAGUGUGGCAGAGGGGGGUGGAAUUCCGCGUGUAGCAGUGAAAUGCGUAGAGAUGCGGAGGAACACCGAUGGCGAAGGCAGCCCCCUGGGCCAACACUGACGCUCAGGCACGAAAGCGUGGGGAGCAAACAGGAUUAGAUACCCUGGUAGUCCACGCCCUAAACGAUGGCCACUGGGUGUUGGGGAAGCGAUUCCUUGGUACCGCAGCUAACGCGUGAAGUGGCCCGCCUGGGGAGUACGGCCGCAAGGUUA
rnacentral:rRNA from 1 species